rnacentral:tRNA from 1 species
UCCCUGGUGGUCCAGUGGUUGGGACUCUGUGCUUCCACUGUAGGGGGAACAGGUUCAAUCCCUGGUUGGGGAA